CCGAUUUGUUUCGUGUCCAAGUUCAAUUGUCCUGUUCUGUAAUUUGCCUUCCACCCGAAGUUGACUAACUGAUGCAGUUUUUCCCAGCGCCUUUAAAUAGAUGUAGUCUGUUAAACCUACGCAGUGAAUAGGAGCUGAUAAUGUAUUUAACAAGUUGAGAUAGUUUUCGGCUCUACAGCAAAGAAGACAGUUUUACAGGAUAAUUGUAUCGUAAAUUUACGAGUUUCAUCUCAAAUUACUUAAUUUUGGAAGUCGAGAACGGUAGAUUUCAACAUUUUCCGACGCAGAUUAACCCGCCUCCAACGCAACUUUAAUCCGAUAGUUCCACACGUUGGCCACAUAUUAUACGAUCUUUCAUUUUUUAAAAGCGGUAGAUUUGAAUUUGUUUGUUCGGUUUUCAAAUCUCCCUCUUUAUAUUUUUCAUUUUUGACCGAAGUAUAAACGCGGCCCACACUAAUACCUAGGUAAGGGACGGAAUUUUUAAAUUACAACUCUGUAGUCAGUUUUAUUUGUUAAUAAGUUGGUGGGUGUCGGCUUCUGGCCAUGUCUAGGAACAAGCAGUUGAGUGAUUCUACUUCUAAUCUUUGAAUUAUCUUGACGUGAAACGGCGAUAACUGAUAAACGUGAAAGCGGAUAACUGCUGGCACACAAGCAGAAGUAAGUCUUCCUAAUAUUAUUCGUAUUUUAGUUAAAGCGCUGGAUUUAUUGAGCUUUGAGGUUUCAUUGGCUGUCCAACAAAUUUGGGCGCAAUCACCUUGGAGACGGAACGGACGAUGGAAUCAGCCCAGACUUAAUCCAUUUUUGGGGUAUGUGAAAUUUAAUUUUCUUGUGGUUUCAAUCGGGUCUGAUGCCUCGCCUAAUUAUGGUCUGUCGUUGUUAAGUUUACGGCUCAUUCUGAUAUCUGAUGUCUUCCGGGUAUACCACCAAAGAUCAGCAAAUCGAAACGAAAUCUUUUCUUUGUUAAUUUUUUAUCGUAGGGCUGGAAUGUCCUAAUUUGAUUUACUAUUGGGACUUCUGGGUCGAAUUUGUCUCGAUUUCUAUUAACUUUUUUUUCACUUUCCGCCAUUUCAGAUACAUUUUUAUUCCCAUUACUACUGCGAGUAAUCCGAUUUAAGUUGUGGGCAUAAUUAUGUUUGUUUGUUUCAUCGAAUAAACAGGAAUACGAAUUUCUUGUUUUUCGCCUCUCCUCUGCUGUUACUCCAUUGGCAUUUCGUAAUUUUCAUUUCACUUUAAAUUUCCAUCCUCCAUUUCCAUUUUCCUAGUAAUUUGAAAAAAGGUGGGCGGGGGCGGGGCUUUGUUGUCGUAGACUUGGCCAGAGUAAUUUUGUUUCCAUCCUAGAAUAUUAGACCAUUGGAGGUACAGUGAGGACCCUUAAUCCAUUUAAUCAGGACGAAUUCCGGUUUUUCCAUUGUUUGGUAUCCAUUAUCAAUUCCUAUCAUUUGGCCGACCGUUCUGGAAUUCUAUUCCUGUAUCCUGAAGUGGAAUUUAUCAUUAGAAUCUAUCGAAUCCGACAAUUUUAAUACAAUUUAAUUUGGUUGAUAUCUUACCUACAAACGGACCGACACGGGCUUUCCUCUAGAUUUAAUUUCUCGUCUCUAAUCUUCAUCUCCAAUCACUUGUUUGAACCUAACCACAGUUUGUUUGAUAUAAGUGUUAACUUUAAUAUAAUUUUAAUUUUUGUCUCUCGAUACCCACCACCUAUUAAUCAUCAAUCAGCAUCAGCACAGGGGAAUAGAGAGACACUUCUACUCCCCUAAUGUUAAGGAUGUUCAGCAAUGAAUUUAUACGCAGAGUAGUUAAAGUUAAAAGAAACGAUGGUGAAUCUCCUCCGAUUAUUUCCCGUCAAAAAGUUAUUGACUCAGUAAUUGCACGAUUACGUUACAUAAUUUUUCGUAGUCGUUAUUCUGAUGCAAGCAUUGCUCAAUUGCAUUGGAAAUAAUGAUUUGUUUUUUAAAUGUUCUAAAAAUGAGAAAGUUAAUUGCAAAUGACGUCAUUCCGUUAGUUUUAUUCCUUAUUUAGGCUACAUCCAGCAUACACCGUGCCUCUAGCCGUUAACUGUCAAAACUUCCUGCUUUAGCAAGUGUCAAUUUGUGUUUCAUUUUUAUUUGGCUUAUAAAAAUUUCUACUCUCUACUCUGGAUGCCGAUUGGCUGUCGAAUGCUCACUGUCGAAUGAUGGCGGACAUGAAAACGACUAGCAGCACUAGAUACCGUCAAAACUAAGGGAUGUAAGAAAUACUCUUCCCUCGAUCAUGGAUCCCCUUGGAAAAAUAAGGAAUCUAGCUACUACCUCUUAUUUUUAUCUCGUUCUCCAUCCAUUUAAAUUUUUAAAUUUUCUUUCUAGUUACGACGCGGCUGGAGAAACCAAGUGAUGUCCGGUCGACGGAAGCAAAGUUAGCAAAAUCAGAGUAUCGGAAUUACCAGCGGCAUCCGCUUGAUCCAGCGAACAGAGCAAAUGAACUACAUCCAAAUAAAGAGACUGGAUACUGAAAUGUAUGGUUUUAAACAAGCGUGUUGGCUAGAGCUAUUUGAUUCAACCUAUGGGAUUCACCAUGAUCAUUGUGGAAUCUGUCAUCACUUUCAGGUGCUGUGCUUCCAGAUAGCCAGGACCGAAGACAAGGGUCAAUCCUUUUACAGUCCAAAGUUGUAAUCAACAAGGCCAAACAGAUAGCAACAUGAUCGACCAGGUACGACAGGAAAGCAGCAUCAGCCUCCAGUUGAAAAGCUAGUCGCUGAUGGACUGAUUCAACAAGCAAAUCCAACAGCGACGCCCUAUGCAGUUGCUGCUGCCACGUCCUAUUCGGCACCAACCCCAUCCCAAAUCGCUAAUCUAAGUGUAGAAGCAUCGCCUCUAGUUUGACUGCCCAGCAGAUUCAGACGCUUAUCCCUUCACCAAGUCAUUCCUCAUCCAAGGAACGUGGAACUGCGAUCGUGGUUCCAGCAUUCUGCACAAGUUAGAAGAAAAGACAAAGCUACAAAGUCCAGCGUUCUGAGCAAGACGAAGCAAUGAAAUGUUUCACAGCGCAUCACAAACAACUUAGCUGAAGAUUCACAAGCGGAUACCAACGAUGGCAAAAGAAGAGCGUGAAGUAGGAAGAAAUUGCCUCAAACAAACUAAAAAAAGUGAAGAAGGUUUUGAUGUGCAGUUUCGUUAACAACAAAAAAAACCAAUGCAGACUUAUCCAAUCUACCUUGAAGACAAAAUGGAAAAGUCUUCCUUACAAGGGUGGAGAAAAACCGAAGCUACAAAUUAACACACCCAUUCUAUUUUGCUUCAUGUCAAGCUUUUAUAAAUUUUAAGUGUGAUUGAUAAAUAUUUAUGUAUUGUGUAAAAACUAAGUUGAAAAAUAAAACACAUGAAAACAUU